GACGAACGCUGGCGGCGUGCUUAACACAUGCAAGUCGAACGGUAAGGCCCUUCGGGGUACACGAGUGGCGAACGGGUGAGUAACACGUGGGUGAUCUGCCCUGCACUUCGGGAUAAGCCUGGGAAACUGGGUCUAAUACCGGAUAGGACCACUGCCUGCAUGGGUGGUGGUGGAAAGCUUUUGCGGUGUGGGAUGGGCCCGCGGCCUAUCAGCUUGUUGGUGGGGUGAUGGCCUACCAAGGCGACGACGGGUAGCCGGCCUGAGAGGGUGACCGGCCACACUGGGACUGAGAUACGGCACAGGCUCCUACGGGGGGCAGCAGUGGGGAAUAUUGCACAAUGGGCGCAAGCCUGAUGCAGCGACGCCGCGUGAGGGAUGACGGCCUUCGGGUUGUAAACCUCUUUCAGCACCGACGAAGCGCAAGUGACGGUAGGUGCAGAAGAAGGACCGGCCAACUACGUGCCAGCCGCCGCGGUAA
rnacentral:rRNA from 1 species